CUUUCACCUAGGCCCUCUGGGUGCCCAUAUCAGAAUGACUGACCAAAGGGCAGUUGGCAGAAGGACCACUGUCCUAACAAAGGCCUUCAGACUCACUGGAGAAAAAACAAGGUGCUUUGACCACCACUUAUUGGGAUGACAACACAGUCAUCAUCAAUCAAAGUAGACUUGUAGAUUAAAGGUUGACCUACUUCCUGGUAAUUACCUAUAGCCAAUAUAAUAUAUACUUUAAAUAAUGUAUUGAUUUCACUAGCUGAAAUUAAAAGAAAUCCAAAGGCACCCCGUUCUUGGUUACAUGUGACUGUCUACCUGAUGCUACUUAAUUAACUAGACUGAGUCUCCUUUAAAUGACUUACUGUUUGAAUUUUGUGGAAAUCCCGGCAAGGAGGAUGGACCGUUCAUUCCGGGGAGAAGGACUGGAGGAAGGCCGGGGAGUCCGGGGUAGGCUGCUGGCAGGCUGAUGCCGUGGAGAGAACUGCUGUCCAUCAUGCCUGGCUGCUGUACCGUCAAGCCCAGCACGUCUGAAGCUUUCUUUAUACGAUCAAGUUCUUGCUGUGCCAUCAGCUGCCGAACCGUGGUCGGAGCCAAGUAAUCUUUCUCCCGAUCGAGCUGACUGCCAACGGUCUCCCUCACUUUUGAAAUGUGCUGUUUGGAGAAAAUGUGAUCUCUGAUGGACAAGCGGGCAGAGUACUUCACCCCGCAGAGGGUACACUCUGGUUUGGUGCCUUCCGUUCCGCCUUGAUUGAUCAUGAAAGGCUUCCCUAUGUUAAUUUUAAAUUUCUUUUCCUUUGCCCUUGCAUUUUGGAACCACACCUGGACCACGCGUUUGGGCAGACCAAUCUCAUUCCCUAACAUUUCACAUUCUUGCAUGGUUGGAGUUCGGUAGUCACUAAAGCAAGCCUUGAGAACCUUGAGUUGAAGAUUGCUCAUUUGAGUUCGAAAACGCUUGUGACCCGGCCGAUCAUUACUUUUGGAUUUAAAGGGAUUGCUGGAUCCGAAUGGAUUUGGGGAGCUCGGGUCCGCUAUGCUGGACGUUUCGCUGCGGUCGGCGUUGUCAUCCGGGUCAUCUGUGAUGUAAAAGCUUUGGUCGUGGUCGCCAUCUUUGUCAUUGAAAUGGAUGGAUGGGCUUGUGAGAGAAAAGAGAAAUUUGUCAUCGCAGACCUCCGUGGUAGGUGUGGUUGCGGGUUUUGGCAGAGUAUCCAGAGUUUUUGGCUCUUUGGGAGACAAAGCCGGUUUCACAUCUCCGGAACUUCCUGUGGUGCUUUCCAUUUCAGUGUUUCCCUCGUCUCCGGUGGUGGCGUCACUGAUUGCCGUAUUAAUCGAUGAAGUCUCAUCAAAAUCGGUUUUAUUUUGAUCAUACCCAGCCUCAGCAGGAGGGGCAUUUAAAUUCUCUACAUCCUCAGAA